rnacentral:rRNA from 1 species
GACGAACGCUGGCGGCGUGCUUAACACAUGCAAGUCGAACGGAAAGGCCCUGCUUUUGUGGCUUGCUCGAGUGGCGAACGGGUGAGUAACACAUGAGUAUCCUGCCCUUGACUUUGGGAUAACUCCAGGAAACUGGGGCUAUUACCGGAUAGAAGAUCUUGCUGCGUGGUGGGGAUUGGAAAGUUUCGGCGGUUGGGGAUGGACUCGCGGCUUAUCAGCUUGUUGGUGGGGUAGUGGCUGCCUAAGGCUUUGACGGGUAGCCGGCCUGAGAGGGUGACCGGCCACAUUGGGACUGAGAUACGGCGCAGACGGCUACGGGAGGCAGCAGUGGAGAAUAUUGCACAAUGGGCGGAAGCCUGAUGCAGCAACGCCGCGUGCGGGAUGACGGCCUUCGGGUUGUAAACCGAUUUCGCCUGUGACGAGGCGUGAGUGACGGUAAUGGGUAAAGAAGCACCGGCUAACUACGUG